AGUUGCUUCUUCCUAGUGUUUGGUUAACUUGGGGUAAAUGUGUGUUCUUGGUGUGGGAGUGGUCACUUUGGGCUAUUUAGCUUCUGCUGGAUGCCUGUAACUCAGUGUUCCUCCAGGCUUGGUGUGUGCUGGUGGUUCACUGCUCCUGGCUUUAC